rnacentral:rRNA from 1 species
GCGGAAGGAUCAUUAUCGAGUUUGAAAGGGGUUUGCAGCUGACUCUCCGGAGUAUGUGCUCGCCUCACUCAUCCACUCUACACCUGUGCACUAUCUGUGGGCUUCGGCCUACGUCUCUACACACACGAUAUGUAUCAGAAUGUAACACCGCGUCUAACGCAAUAAUACAACUUUCAACAACGGAUCUCUUGGCUCUCGCAUCGAUGAAGAACGCAGCGAAAUGCGAUAAGUAAUGUGAAUUGCAGAAUUCAGUGAAUCAUCGAAUCUUUGAACGCACCUUGCGCUCCUUGGUAUUCCGAGGAGCAUGCCUGUUUGAGCGUCGUGAAUCUCUCAACCCACAAAUUGUUUGUUCAGUUUGUGCGGCUUGGACUUGGAGGUAUUGCUGGCGAUGGUCAGCUCCUCUUAAAUGUAUUAGCUGGGCUUAGCUCGGUGGAACGGUUAGUGUGAUAAUUAUCUGCGCUGCCUACUACAUCGGAUCCCGCUUCUAAUCGUCCGCAAGGACAAUUCACUUUGAAUCUGACCUCAAAUCAGGUAGGACUACCCGCUGAACUUAAG